rnacentral:rRNA from 1 species
UACAGAGGGGGCAAGCGUUAUUCGGAAUUAUUGGGCGUAAAGGGCGCGUAGGCGGCUUUGCAAGUGGCGGGUGAAAUCCCUCGGCUUAACCGAGGAACUGCCUGCCAGACUGUGAGGCUUGAGACCGGGAGAGGUGAGUGGAAUUCCCAGUGUAGCGGUGAAAUGCGUAGAUAUCAGGAGGAACACCGGUGGCGAAGGCGGGUCUCUGGGCCGAUACUGACGCUGAGGAGCAAAGACGUGG